CAAAGCAGCCAUUCAUUUAAAGAGUGCGUAACAGCUCACUAGUCGAGCGGACGAGCAUGGAUAAUAAUCGGGCAUAAACAUAUUACCGAAGCUAUGGAUUUGUAAUUUAUUACAAGUGGUAGGGGAGCAUUCUAACAGGGUUGAAGGUGUGUUGUAAAGCAUGCUGGACUGGUUAGAAAAGAAAAUGUAGGCAUAAGUAACGAUAAUGCGGGCGAGAAACCCGCACACCGAAAGACUAAGGUUUCCACAGCUAUGCUAAUCAGCUGUGGGUUAGUCGGGACCUAAGGCGAACCCGAAAGGGACAGUCGAUGGACCACGGGUUAAUAUUCCCGUACUACUAAUUACUGUGAUGGGGUGACGGAGUGAUGAAAGCGCCGCGAACUGACGGAAUAGUUCGUUGAAGUACCUACCUAUAAGCUGCGCAGGCAAAUCCACGCGGCUUGGGGAAAUACGAUAGUACUCGGAGUCUUCGGACAAAGAGAUAGUGCGCCUAAGGGCUUCCAAGAAAAACCUCUAAACUUCAGGUAAUUAGUACCCGUACCGCAAACCGACACAGGUAGUCGAGGAGAGAAUCCUAAGGUGCUCGAGAGAUUCAUGGCUAAGGAAUUAGGCAAAAUAGACCCGUAACUUCGGGAGAAGGGUCGCCCCGAGUAAUCGGGGCCGCAGUGAAGAGGUCCAGGCGACUGUUUAUCAAAAACACAGGGCUCUGCAAAAUCGUAAGAUGAAGUAUAGGGCCCGACACCUGCCCGGUGCUGGAAGGUUAAGAGGAGAUGUUAUCUUCGGAGAAGCAUUGAAUUGAAGCCCCAGUAAACGGCGGCCGUAACAAUAACGGUCCUAAGGUAGCGAAAUUCCUUGUCGGGUAAGUUCCGACCUGCACGAAUGGUGUAACGAUCUGGACACUGUCUCAGCCAUGAGCUCGGUGAAAUUGUAGUAACGGUGAAGAUGCCGUUUACCCGCAGUGGGACGAAAAGACCCUGUGCACCUUUACUAUAGCUUAGUAUUGACCUUGGAUAAAUGAUGUGUAGGAUAGGUUGGAGACUGUGAAGUGGCGUCGCUAGGCGUUGUGGAGUCAUUGUUGAAAUACAACCCUUUGUUUAUCUGAGGCCUAACCCCGCGAACGCGGGGGACAUUGCUUGGUGGGUAGUUUGACUGGGGUGGUCGCCUCCAAAAGAGUAACGGAGGCUUCUAAAGGUUCCCUCAGUACGCUUGGUAACCGUGCGUAGAGUGCAAUGGCAUAAGGGAGCUUGACUGAGAGACAUACAGGUCGAUCAGGUACGAAAGUAGAGCAUAGUGAUCCGGUGGUUCCGCAUGGAAGGGCCAUCGCUCAAAGGAUAAAAGGUACGCCGGGGAUAACAGGCUGAUCUCCCCCAAGAGCUCAUAUCGACGGGGGGGUUUGGCACCUCGAUGUCGGCUCGUCACAUCCUGGGGCCAA
rnacentral:rRNA from 1 species